AUUGAACGCAGGCGGCAGGCCUAACACAUGCAAGUCGAACGAGUGGCGGACGGGUGAGUAAUUUCUGGGAAACUGCCUGAUGGAGGGGGAUAACUACUGGAAACGGUAGCUAAUACCGCAUACCAUCGGAUGUGCCCAGAUGGGAUUAGCUAGUAGGUGGGGUAACGGCUCACCGAGGCGACGAUCCAUAGCUGGUCUGAGAGGAUGACCAGCCACACUGGGACUGAGAAACGGUCCAGACUCCGACGGGAGUCAGCAGUGGGGAAUAUUGCACAAUGGGCGCAAGCCUGAUGCAGCCAUGCCGAGUGUAUGAAGAAGGCCUUCGGGUUGUAAAGUACUUUCAGCAGGGAGGCGUUACCCACAGAAGAAGAACCGGCUAACUCCGUGCCAGCAGCAGCGGUAAUAC
rnacentral:rRNA from 1 species